rnacentral:rRNA from 1 species
ANGGUGCGAGCGUUGUCCGGAAUUACUGGGCGUGAAGAGCUCGUAGGUGGUUUGUCGCGUUGUUCGUGAAAUCUCACGGCUUAACUGUGAGCGUGCGGGCGAUACGGGCAGACUUGAGUACUGCAGGGGAGACUGGAAUUCCUGGUGUAGCGGUGGAAUGCGCAGAUAUCAGGAGGAACACCGGUGGCGAAGGCGGGUCUCUGGGCAGUAACUGACGCUGAGGAGCGAAAGCGUGGGGAGCGAACAGGAUUAGAUACCCUGGUAGUCCACGCCGUAAACGGUGGGUACUAGGUGUGGGUUUCCUUCCUUGGGAUCCGUGCCGUAGCUAACGCAUUAAGUACCCCGCCUGGGGAGUACGGCCGCAAGGCUAAAACUCAAAGAAAUUGACGGGGGCCCGCACAAGCGGCGGAGCAUGUGGAUUAAUUCGAUGCAACGCGAAGAACCUUACCUGGGUUUGACAUGCACAGGACGCCGGCAGAGAUGUCGGUUCCCUUGUGGCCUGUGUGCAGGUGGUGCAUGGCUGUCGUCAGCUCGUGUCGUGAGAUGUUGGGUUAAGUCCCGCAACGAGC